rnacentral:rRNA from 1 species
AACGAACGCUGGCGGCAUGCCUAAUACAUGCAAGUCGAACGAGAUCUUCGGAUCUAGUGGCGCACGGGUGCGUAACGCGUGGGAAUCUGCCCUUGGGUUCGGAAUAACUUCUGGAAACGGAAGCUAAUACCGGAUGAUGACGUAAGUCCAAAGAUUUAUCGCCCAAGGAUGAGCCCGCGUAGGAUUAGGUAGUUGGUGAGGUAAAGGCUCACCAAGCCGACGAUCCUUAGCUGGUCUGAGAGGAUGAUCAGCCACACUGGGACUGAGACACGGCCCAGACUCCUACGGGAGGCAGCAGUAGGGAAUAUUGGACAAUGGGCGAAAGCCUGAUCCAGCAAUGCCGCGUGAGUGAUGAAGGCCUUAGGGUUGUAAAGCUCUUUUACCCGGAAUGAUAAUGACAGUACCGGGAGAAUAAGCUCCGGCUAACUCCGUG